AACGAACGCUGGCGGCAUGCCUAACACAUGCAAGUCGAACGAGAACUUCGGGCCUUGUGGCGCACGGCUGCUUACCGCGUGGGAACCUGCCCUUAGGUUCGGAAUCCCUCCCCGUAGGGGGUGUUAAUACCGGUUAAUCUCAUCGCGCCAAGGAUGUCUGGCCUUUGGAUGGGCCCUGGUUGGUUUCGCCAGUUGGUAGUGUAAUAGCAUAUCAUGGCCACGUUCCAUAGCUGGUCUGGGAGGAGGACCAGCCACACUGGGACUGAGACACGGCCCAGACUCCUACGGGAGGGAGGAGUGGGGAAUAUUGGGCGAGGGGCGAAAGCCUGAUACAGCAAUGCGGCGUAAGUGAGGAAGGCCUUAGGGUUGUGAAGCUCUUUUAGCCGGGGUGAUAAUGACAGUACCGGGAGAAUAAGCACCGGCUAACUCCGUG
rnacentral:rRNA from 1 species